rnacentral:rRNA from 1 species
GAUGAACGCUGGCGGCGUGCCUAAUACAUGCCAGUCGAGCGAACAGACGAGGAGCUUGCUCCUUCGACGUUAGCGGCGGACGGGUGAGUAACACGUAGGUAACCUACCUAUAAGACUGGGAUAGCUUCGGGAAACCGGAGCUAAUACCGGAUAAUAUUUCGAACCGCAUGGUUCGAUAGUGAAAGAUGGCUUUGCUAUCACUUAUAGAUGGACCUGCGCCGUAUUAGCUAGUUGGUAAGGUAACGGCUUACCAAGGCAACGAUACGUAGCCGACCUGAGAGGGUGAUCGGCCACACUGGAACUGAGACACGGUCCAGACUCCUACGGGAGGCAGCAGUAGGGAAUCUUCCGCAAUGGGCGAAAGCCUGACGGAGCAACGCCGCGUGAGUGAUGAAGGUCUUCGGAUCGUAAAACUCUGUUAUUAGGGAAGAACAAACGUGUAAGUAACUGUGCACGUCUUGACGGUACCUAAUCAGAAAGCCACGGCUAACUACGUG